UACGUAGGUGGCAAGCGUUGUCCGGAUUUAUUGGGUUUAAAGGGUGCGUAGGCGGUCAUAUAAGUCAGUGGUGAAAUACUUCAGCUCAACUGGAGAGGUGCCAUUGAUACUGUAUGACUUGAGUACAGACGAGGUAGGCGGAAUUGACGGUGUAGCGGUGAAAUGCUUAGAUAUCGUCAAGAACACCGAUAGCGAAGGCAGCUUACUAGACUGUAACUGACGCUGAUGCACGAAAGUGUGGGGAUCAAACAGGAUUAGAUACCCUGGUAGUCCACACUGUAAACGAUGAUUACUCGAUGUUGGCGAUACACAGCCAGCGUCUUAGCGAAAGCGAUAAGUAAUCCACCUGGGGAGUACGCCCGCAAGGGUG
rnacentral:rRNA from 1 species